rnacentral:rRNA from 1 species
UACAGAGGGGGCAAGCGUUGUUCGGAAUUACUGGGCGUAAAGGGCGCGUAGGCGGCCUGCUAAGUCGAACGUGAAAUCCCUGGGCUCAACCCAGGAACUGCGUCCGAUACUGGUUGGCUUGAAUCCGGGAGAGGGACGUGGAAUUCCAGGUGUAGCGGUGAAAUGCGUAGAUAUCUGGAGGAACACCGGUGGCGAAGGCGCUCUGCUGGACCAUAACUGACACUCAGGGACGAAAGCUAGGGGAGCGAAUGGG